rnacentral:rRNA from 1 species
UACGAAGGGGGCUAGCGUUGUUCGGAAUUACUGGGCGUAAAGCGCGCGUAGGCGGUGAUCUUUGUCAGAGGUGAAAGCCCGGGGCUCAACUCCGGAAUUGCCUUUGAAACGGGAUCGCUUGAGUCCGAGAGAGGAUGGCGGAAUUCCUAGUGUAGAGGUGAAAUUCGUAGAUAUUAGGAAGAACACCAGUGGCGAAGGCGGCUCACUGGCCCGGUACUGACGCUGAGGCGCGAAAGCGUGGGGAGCAAACAGG